UACGGAGGGUCCAAGCGUUGUUCGGAAUUACUGGGCGUAAAGCGCACGUAGGCGGAUUCGUAAGUCAGAUGUGAAAGCCCCGGGCUCAACCUGGGAAUUGCAUUUGAAACUGCGAACCUUGAAUGCUUGAGAGGGUGACGGAAUUCCUGGUGUAGAAGUGAAAUUCGUAGAUAUCAGGAGGAACACCGGAGGCGAAGGCGGUUGCCUGGCGAUGCAUUGACGCUGAGGUGCGAAAGCGUGGGUAGCAAACAGG
rnacentral:rRNA from 1 species